GACGGGGGGGGCAAGUGUUCUUCGGAAUGACUGGGCGUAAAGGGCACGUAGGCGGUGAAUCGGGUUGAAAGUGAAAGUCGCCAAAAAGUGGCGGAAUGCUCUCGAAACCAAUUCACUUGAGUGAGACAGAGGAGAGUGGAAUUUCGUGUGUAGGGGUGAAAUCCGUAGCUCUACGAAGGAACGCCAAAAGCGAAGGCAGCUCUCUGGGUCCCUACCGACGCUGGGUGCGAAAGCAUGGGGAGCGAACAGG
rnacentral:rRNA from 1 species